rnacentral:rRNA from 1 species
GUCGAACGGUAGCACAGAGAGCUUGCUCUCGGGUGACGAGUGGCGGACGGGUGAGUAAUGUCUGGGAAACUGCCUGAUGGAGGGGGAUAACUACUGGAAACGGUAGCUAAUACCGCAUAACGUCGCAAGACCAAAGAGGGGGACCUUCGGGCCUCUUGCCAUCAGAUGUGCCCAGAUGGGAUUAGCUAGUAGGUGGGGUAACGGCUCACCUAGGCGACGAUCCCUAGCUGGUCUGAGAGGAUGACCAGCCACACUGGAACUGAGACACGGUCCAGACUCCUACGGGAGGCAGCAGUGGGGAAUAUUGCACAAUGGGCGCAAGCCUGAUGCAGCCAUGCCGCGUGUAUGAAGAAGGCCUUCGGGUUGUAAAGUACUUUCAGCGGGGAGGAAGGUGUUGUGGUUAAUAACCGCAGCAAUUGACGUUACCCGCAGAAGAAGCACCGGCUAACUCCGUGCCAGCAGCCGCGGUAAUACGGAGGGUGCAAGCGUUAAUCGGAAUUACUGGGCGUAAAGCGCACGCAGGCGGUCUGUCAAGUCGGAUGUGAAU